rnacentral:rRNA from 1 species
AGUGAACGCUGGCGGCAGGCCUAAUACAUGCAAGUCGAACGGCAGCACAGCAGAGCUUGCUCUGUGGGUGGCGAGUGGCGGACGGGUGAGGAAUACAUGGGAAUCUGCCCAGUCGUGGGGGAUAACGUAUGGAAACGUACGCUAAUACCGCAUGCGCCCUUUGGGGGAAAGCCGGGGACCUUCGGGCCUGGCGCGAUUGGAUGAGCCCAUGUUCGAUUAGCUAGUUGGCGGGGUAAAGGCCCACCAAGGCGACGAUCGAUAGCUGGUCUGAGAGGAUGAUCAGCCACACUGGGACUGAGACACGGCCCAGACUCCUACGGGAGGCAGCAGUAGGGAAUAUUGGACAAUGGGCGCAAGCCUGAUCCAGCCAUGCCGCGUGAGUGAAGAAGGCCCUCGGGUUGUAAAGCUCUUUUGUUGGGGAAGAAAAGCAGUCGGUUAAUACCUGAUUGUUCUGACGGUACCCAAAGAAUAAGCACCGGCUAACUUCGUGCCAGCAGCCGCGGUAAUACGAAGGGUGCAAGCGUUACUCGGAAUUACUGGGCGUAAAGCGUGCGUAGGUGGUUUGUUAAGUCUGAUGUGAAAGCCCUGGGCUCAACCUGGGAAUGGCACUGGAUACUGGCAAGCUAGA